rnacentral:tRNA from 1 species
GGAAGCUUACCCAAGUGGUUGAAGGGAUCAGUCUUGAAAACUGAGAGGGAUCUUGAAGGUUCGCGGGGGUUCGAAUCCCUCAGCUUCCG